UACAGAGGGGCAAGCGUUGUUCGGAAUUACUGGGCGUAAAGGCGCGUAGGCGGCCUGUUAAGUCGAACGUGAAAUCCCCGGGCUCAACCCGGGAACUGCGUCCGAUACUGGCAGGCUUGAAUUCGGGAGAGGGAUGCGGAAUUCCAGGUGUAGCGGUGAAAUGCGUAGAUAUCUGGAGACACCGGUGGCGAAGGCGGCAUCCUGGACGAGAUUGACGCCUGAGGCGCGAAAGCCAGGGGAGCAAACGGG
rnacentral:rRNA from 1 species